AAUUCAGUUAGAUAUGCAGUUCUUGAAGACUCCGCUGAAGGAAAUUGCGGACGAUGAAGCAGCUAUUGACUUUUUGCUUGAUGAGGUGAUAGUCGCAGCAUCAGAGCGUUGUCUAGACCCCAUUCCUUUGGAGCCUCCCAUCUUAGACAAACUCAUACAAGCAAAAUUGGCGAAGGCAAAAGAUCAGAAUUCAACAUCUUCAUGAACAUACCAAAAUGGAGAAGUUGGACAUUG
rnacentral:misc_RNA from 1 species